CUGACCCCUGUGCCCCCUCCCCAGCAAUACGAGGCCGCCCUCCGUGCCCACAGCGCGGGCAGAGCCGUGGAUCUCUCGGAGCUGCCGGUGCCCCCGGGCUGCCCCCCCAUCCAGGGCACGGAGGGCUCAGCAGAGCCCAGCAUUUCUGGGAUGCUGGAGGCGGCCCUGAGGCUGACGGAGCAGCAGCAGCAGGAGGAGGAGGAGGAGGAGGAGGAGGAGGAAAAGGAGAGCACCAAGGUCCAGCCCAGCGCUGCCCCUGUGCCCCCUCCCAAACAACCCCCCCGGAAUUCCCAGCCGGCUCCCAAAGCUGCUGGAAAAGGUACAGGGGGGGCUGGGGGUGGGCAUGGGGGGGAGGGCACCC